UACGGGGGGGGGUAAGCGUUGUUCGGAAUUACUGGGCGUAAAGGGCUCGUAGGCGGCCAACUAAGUCAGACGUGAAAUCCCUCAGCUUAACUGGGGAACUGCGUCUGAUACUGGAUGGCUUGGAUUCGGGAGAGGAAUGCGGAAUUCCAGGUGUAGCGGUGAAAUGCGUAGAUAUCUGGAGGAACACCGGUGGCGAAGGCGGCAUCCUGGACCGGUAUUGACGCUGAGGCGCGAAAAGCUAGGGGAGCAAACGGGG
rnacentral:rRNA from 1 species